rnacentral:rRNA from 1 species
AAUCAACGCUGGCGGCGUGCCUCAGACAUUCAAGUCGAACGCUGCUGUUCGCCUUCGGGUGGACAGCGGAGUGGCGCACGGGUGAGUAACACGUAGGUAAUCUACCUUUGGGUGGGGAAUAACAGCCGGAAACGGCUGCUAAUACCGCAUAAUGCAGCGGCAUCACAUGAUGACAGUUGUUAAAGCGAGGGAUCGUAAGACCUCGCGCCUGAAGAGGAGCCUGCGGCAGAUUAGGUAGUUGGUGGAGUAAUGGCUCACAAGCUGCGAUCUGUAACCGGCCUGAGGAGGGCGGUCGGUCACACUGACACUGACAGUACGGGUCAGACUCCGUACGGGAGGCAGC